GAUGAACGCUGGCGGCGUGCCUAAUACAUGCAAGUCGAGUGAACAGACGAGGAGCUUGCUCCUCUGACGUUAGCGGCGGACGGGUGAGUAACACGUGGAUAACCUACCUAUAAGACUGGGAUAACUUCGGGAAACCGGAGCUAAUACCGGAUAAUAUAUUGAACCGCAUGGUUCAAUAGUGAAAGACGGUUUUGCUGUCACUUAUAGAUGGAUCCGCGCCGCAUUAGCUAGUUGGUAAGGUAACGGCUUACCAAGGCGACGAUGCGUGGCCGACCUGAGAGGGUGAUCGGCCACACUGGAACUGAGACACGGUCCAGACUCCUACGGGAGGCAGCAGUAGGGAAUCUUCCGCAAUGGGCGAAAGCCUGACGGAGCAACGCCGCGUGAGUGAUGAAGGUCUUCGGAUCGUAAAACUCUGUUAUUAGGGAAGAACAAAUGUGUAAGUAACUAUGCACGUCUUGACGGUACCUAAUCAGAAAGCCACGGCUAACUACGUG
rnacentral:rRNA from 1 species